GAUGAACGCUGGCGGCGUGCCUAAUACAUGCAAGUCGAGCGAACAGAUGAGGAGCUUGCUCCUCUGACGUUAGCGGCGGACGGGUGAGUAACACGUGGAUAACCUACCUAUAAGACUGGGAUAACUUCGGGAAACCGGAGCUAAUACCGGAUAAUAUAUUGAACCGCAUGGUUCAAUAGUGAAAGACGGUUUUGCUGUCACUUAUAGAUGGAUCCGCGCCGCAUUAGCUAGUUGGUAAGGUAACGGCUUACCAAGGCAACGAUGCGUAGCCGACCUGAGAGGGUGAUCGGCCACACUGGAACUGAGACACGGUCCAGACUCCUACGGGAGGCAGUAGUAGGGAAUCUUCCGCAAUGGGCGAAAGCCUGACGGAGCAACGCCGCGUGAGUGAUGAAGGUCUUCGGAUCGUAAAACUCUGUUAUUAGGGAAGAACAAAUGUGUAAGUAACGAUGCACGUCUUGACGGUACCUAAUCAGAAAGCCACGGCUAACUACGU
rnacentral:rRNA from 1 species